AGCGAACGCUGGCGGCAGGCUUAACACAUGCAAGUCGAACGCCCCUCAAGGGGAGUGGCAGACGGGUGAGUAACACGUGGGAACGUACCCUUUGGUUCGGAAUAACUUGGGGAAACUCAAGCUAAUACCGGAUAAGCGCUUAUGGGGAAAGGUUGACUGCCGAAGGAUCGGCCCGCGUGUGAUUAGCGAGUUGGUAGGGUAAUGGGUCAGCAAGGCGACGAUCAGUAGCUGGUCUGCGAGGAUGAUCAGCCACACGGGGACGGAGAAACGGCCCAGACUCCUACGGGAGGCAGCAGUGGGGAAUAUUGGACAAUGGGGGCAACCCUGAUCCAGCCAUGCCGCGUGAGUGAUGAAGGCCUUAGGGUUGUAAAGCUCUUUUACCCGGGACGCUAAUGACUGUACCGGGAGAAUAAGCCCCGGCUAACUUCGUGCCAGCCGCCGCGGUAA
rnacentral:rRNA from 1 species